rnacentral:misc_RNA from 1 species
GAUGAAGAACGUAGCGAAGUGCGAUAAGUAAUGUGAAUUGCAGAAUUCAGUGAAUCAUCGAAUCUUUGAACGCACAUUGCGCCCCCUGGUAUUCCGGGGGGCAUGCCUGUCCGAGCGUCAUUACAACCCUCAAGCUCAGCUUGGUGUUGGGCCCCGCCGCCCCGGCGGGCCCUAAAGUCAGUGGCGGUGCCGUCCGGCUCCGAGCGUAGUAAUUCUUCUCGCUCUGGAGGUCCGGUCGUGUGCUCGCCAGCAACCCCCAAUUUUUUUCAGGUUGACCUCGGAUCAGGUAGGGAUACCCGCUGAACUUAAGCAUAUCAAUAAGCGGAGGA